UGCUAAUACCGGAUAACAACAGAUGAUGCCUAUCAACUGUUUAAAAGAAUGGUUCUGCUAUCACUCUUGGAUGGACCUGCGGUGCAUUAGCUAGUUGGUAGGGUAACGGCCUACCAAGGCGAUGAUGCAUAGCCGAGUUGAGAGACUGAUCGGCCACAUUGGGACUGAGACACGGCCCAAACUCCUACGGGAGGCAGCAGC
rnacentral:rRNA from 1 species